GCCUCUGUAGCUCAGUUGGUUAGAGCACUGCACCGGAAUCGCAGGGCCGUAGGUUCAAUUCCUACGAGAGGAC
rnacentral:tRNA from 1 species